GGACAUUUUUUUUUUCUAAAGCCUGCCCACACCCAAAAAAAAAAAAAAAAAAAAAAACACCAACAAGAUAUUUUUCCCCCUCUUCGCCAUAGCUAGUUAUUUAUUCCACUUUGUGUUUGGGACGCCAAACCAUUGCUAAUUCCAGUCAUUUCCCUCCUUUUUUCCUAUAAACAUUUUUUUUUUAUGACGUCAUAAUCACCGGUGUUUACUUUAAAUGUCUACCGGCUACAUUCGCUCUGACAUUUAGACAGAAAAGGAAAAAAACAAAACAGAAAAUCCUAAACGAUGCAGGUAAAAAAAAAAGAAAAGAAAUCAGGUGAGGGAUUGGAACGAUUAUAAGGUACGGGCUGCAUAUAGAAGUUUUGAUGGAGCCAGUGAAACCCUUCGACCUCAUCCGCGCCGCUCCAGCAAAUGGAAUUAUCUGUUGAGAAAGCUGAUGGAAACACAGACACACACAAAAAAAGGGCCUUGGCGCAAGACUCUUCGUAUGGGGGGGGAAUUGAAAUAAGGGUCAAUGACAUCAUUCGAUAUGCGUGCAACGAGCGGACUGGCCAGUUUGUUAAAAAAAAAAAAAAAAAAAAAGGAACGACGGGUGGUGGUUCCCAUCCGGUUGCCUUCUUUUCGUGAGAGAGAAACCGAAAAAAAAAAAACUCGAAAUCGAGAAGCGGAAGGAUCCAGUUGGCCAGACCAAAGGCAGUAAGCCUUUGUGAUUUUUUGUUUUUUCCUCGUCCUCAAAGAACCACAGACUCCCGCGCCAUUCACGUUCUGUACAUUUGAGUAUCAAGAGAUAGAGUCGUAAAAAACAAACAAAAAAACACGAAUGUUCGUUAGCAAGGACCAAAAGAAAAGAAAAAAAAAACAACAAAGAAUCAAACAAGUUCUUCUCCCGUUUAGGUACUUCCCGAACGUGAUUGUUAUGGUAGCAAAAAAAAAAAAAAGGUAGACGACGUUUCGUGAAAAAAAACGAACGACUCAUCGAGCCACGAAAACUGGUUUCUCGCAUUUAAUGGCACGGAAUAGGAAAAAAGAAAAGAAAACGGUAAAGUAGCCCACAUUUUGACGUUAGGUAAUAUGCAAAAGAGGCACGCAAACACAUUCACAGUGUGUCCAAGCAUAUUGAAUUGAAUUUGACACCGCCCAGUCACGCCCUCGAUCGUGAAUGGCUCGUAUACACUCAAUCCACACCGACAACAACAAUGUGAAUUUCUCAAACAACAAAGAAUGACCUGCUGCUAAAUAGCCAAUCGUCGAGUAUUGCCUAACAAACAAAACCAUUGUCCAGCUGAAGGUGGAGAAAUGGAAUGUAAAAAAAAAAGAAAAAAUCGAUUGUGAAAAUAAAAGGCCGAAGGGCUGCCAUUGGAAGGUGUUCGACAUUGCUACAUCUCGCGCUUUAUUUCCCCCUUUUUAUCUCUUUUUAUUCAGUCACACCUUGUUAAUAAAAACUGAAACGUCAUUUAUAUUUCUCUCUCAUUCGCUCUUUUUCAUGUUCACAGUGCGAAGUGUAGGAAGAUUGUUAUACAUUCCGUCCAUCCAUGAACACCUAAUGUAUCGGAUCGCGGUUCCACUUGGUUUGCCACCCGCAAAAU